UUGAUUGGCUACGAGUCCAGACAUAGGUCCACACUGUUGGCUCUCGCAAUUAAUCCUCCUCUCUCACUCUCUCUCCUCUUGAUAUGUGCCGUCAUCUCUUUUCAAGUUUAGCAGCUCAUAAUUUCUCUGCUACCUGGACAGGAGCAUCUUUAGAGGGCAGAAGCAUGCGCUGCGUUUUACUCAGAGGAUGACUCGGCGAUGGUAGGGCUCCUACAGAACGUGGGUGCAGGGUGAGAGGAAGAGGGAACUUUAUGACAGAGUAUUAGGAUGGCCAGUGAAGGCUCCAGUAGCAUCUCCAGCCCUGUGGUGCGACAGAUCGACAAGCAGUUCCUGAUCUGCAGCAUAUGUCUGGACCGCUACGACAACCCCAAAGUGCUGCCCUGCCUCCAUACCUUCUGUGAGAGGUGCCUGCAGAACUACAUCCCCGCCCACAGCCUGACGCUGUCGUGCCCUGUGUGCCGCCAGACAUCUAUCCUGCCGGAGAAAGGCGUGGCGGCGCUGCAGAGCAACUUCUUCAUAACCAACCUGAUGGAUGUGCUGCACCGGCCCCCCAGCGACAGCUGCAGCCAGGAGAGCGCAGUGUUGGAGACCAUCAACUCUGUGGCCACGGGACAACCGCUCUCUUGCCCCAACCAUGUGAUGGAGUUCUACUGUCCAUCGUGUGAGACAGCCAUGUGCCAGGAGUGUACGAGCGCCGAGCAUGCCGAGCACCCCACUGUGCCCCUCAAAGAUGUGGUCGAGCAGCACAAGGCCUCGCUGCAGGACCAGCUUGACGCCGUCAAAAACCGGCUGCCUGAAAUCGACUCGGCUCUGCAGGUGCUGUCGGAGAUCCUGCAGCAGCUGACCAAUCAGAAGAGCUCCAUCGAAGGGGACAUCCACACCACGUUCGACGAGUUGCAGAAGACCCUGAACGUCCGCAAGAGUGUCCUGCUCAUGGAGCUUGAGGUCAACUAUGGCCUCAAGCAGAAGGUGCUCCAAGCCCAGCUGGACACGUUAUUCCAGGGCCAGGAUGGCAUCAACAGCAGCUGCAACUUCACUGAACAGGCCCUGAGCCACGGCACCGAGGCCGAGGUCCUGCUCGUCAAGAAGCAGAUGAGCGAGCGGCUCAGUGAGCUGGCCAGCCAAGGGCUCCCCCUCCAGCCCGGUGAGAAUGACCAGCUGGACUUCCUAGUGGAGACAGAGGGCCUCAAGAAGUCCAUCCACAACCUGGGUACUAUAGUUACCACAAAUGCCGUGGCGUCCGAGACUGUGGCCACAGGCGAGGGCCUGAGGCAGUGCGUAGCGGGCCUGCCCACCUCUGUCACCAUCACGACCAAGGACAAGGACGGUGAGCUGUGUAAGAUGGGGAAAGCCAACAUCACGGCAGAGAUCGCCACGCCGGACGGUAGCGUGAGCGACGGCGAGAUACUGGACAACAAGAACGGGACGUACGAGUAUCUGUACACAGCGCCGAAAGAGGGUAGUUUGACGCUGUCGCUGCGUCUGUAUGACCAGCAUAUUAAGGGGAGUCCCUUUAAGAUUAAAGCGACAAAGUCGGCGGAUGUGUCGCCCAGUACGGAGAGCGCUAAGAAGAGGUUGAAGUCGCCAGGGAGUAGCCACGUCAAGCAGAAGGCCAUCAGGAGGCCAGCCAGUAUGUACAGCACGGGGAAGAGGAAAGAGAACCCCAUCGAAGAUGACCAAAUUUUCAGGAUCGGUACAAAGGGAAGAAACAAAGGGGAAUUCACCAAUCUACAGGGUGUGGCUGCCUCCUCAGUAGGCAAGGUGUUGAUAGCAGACAGCAAUAACCAGUGUGUCCAGAUUUUCUCUAAUGACGGUCUAUUCAAGAGUCGCUUUGGAGUGCGUGGACGGUCUCCAGGGCAACUGCAGCGGCCCACUGGAGUGGCGGUCCACCCCAGCGGUGACAUCAUCAUAGCCGACUACGACAACAAGUGGGUUAGCAUCUUCUCCAGCGAUGGGAAGUUCAAGAAUAAGAUUGGCUCGGGCAAGCUGAUGGGCCCCAAAGGCGUGUCGGUGGACAGGAACGGCCACGUCAUCAUCGUGGACAACAAGGGGUGUUGCGUCUUCAUCUUCCAGCCCAACGGAAAGCUGGUCACCAAGUUUGGUAACCGCGGAAACGGCGACCGGCAGUUUGCAGGUACACUCAAUGGUCCUCACUUUGCAGCAGUCAACCAUAACAAUGAGAUAAUUGUUACAGACUUCCAUAAUCAUUCUGUGAAGACGCUUCCAGAACAAAGGAAACCUACUACAACUACUAAGGACAUGGUGACCUCUGGUGGACAACCAGAGACUUACACAACCAGAGACUUUCUGUCGAACUAUUUGCCACAGACUGAUCGGGCGAGUUCAACAGAGAGAGACAACAAAGACAUACAAGUGUGUUCAACAAUGAGGGGGAGUUUAUUCUGAAGUUUGGUUCCAACGGGGAGGGGAACGGCCAGUUCAACGCCCCUACGGGGGUAGCGGUGGACAUUAACGGCAACAUCAUCGUGGCAGACUGGGGCAAUAGCCGAAUACAGGUGUUUGAUGGCAGUGGUUCAUUCCUCUCCUACAUCAACACAUCGGCAGACCCUCUCUACGGUCCCCAGGGCCUGGCCCUCACCUCCGAUGGCCACGUGGUGGUGGCUGACUCUGGGAACCACUGCUUCAAAGUCUACCGUUACCUGCAGUAGCCCUUGCACACUUAGUGUACACACACGAAGACUUGCACACACACACCAUCCUCAGUACGGAGUAAAUGGGUGGAUUUUCAGUCAUUCACUUCCCCCACUAAUUCAAUCCCGCCAUCCAUCACCGUGCCAUACAGAACCUCUCUCUAACCGUUCACCCUGACAUGUGCCUCUGUAGCCUCCUUCGUGACCUCUGACUUUUAAGCUUGCCCUCCACUGACCCCCCCUGGAGUUCACAAGAGCAACCCUGCAUUUUCUCAAACUUUUUCUACUGUCGGCCAUGGGGAAGAGGAAGAGAAUUGGUGAUGUGAUGUAGGUGGGAGGGACUAUGAUUGAGAUCUCCGUGGAUUGGAGGAUGGAGAUUUAUUCGACUAGUUUCUGUCCCUGCCCCUAAUGUGAUAUACAGAAGUAGUCGGGUGAAGUUGCCCCUAGAUGCUGGUCUUGGGUCAGUUUAGCAUUUUCCCCACCAAUAGUUUAGGUUAUGAUUGGUGGAGUGGAAGCUGAUCCUAGAUCUGAACUUAGGGGAAACUUCACCCCAGAGCUGAUAUACAAUACAUCCCUUUUGUUUAAACGGAUCCUUGUUGGGACGAUGAGAAAUGAUAACUGGGUAUCAUGGUUAGGUUGGACCAAUUCUUCCUUUCGUUAUUUAUUGUUGUGACAUGGCACUUGAUGUAAAACUGGAAAUUAAGGUUUAUCAUUCAAGUAUGGAGGUAGUUAAUAAUAUUAGUCGACAGUCACCAAUGUGUAUGGAAGUGAGAUUGAAAGGUUGUAAAAAUCUAAAAUAAAGUGCCUGGACUUUGAUCACAGACUAGCUCCAAAAAUAUGCCUCAUUCCCCAAUUUUAAUGAAUUAGAUUGUUUCCCUUUCUUGGCAUCCCAUGAUUAUUUGGCAUCAAUGAUCACCACAAAGUAAUCUCCGGCUAAAGUAGCUUCUAGUCAAAUGUUCUCAGUGAAAAUGAGUUCUCUACCCACCUUACCUGUUCAAUUUCAUACAUAUAGGACCUAAAAUAUAAUCUGAGUAUUUUUAAAGCAUGGUAUUUAUAACAAGUGCAUGCAACGCUGUCCAAAAACCUUCCCACAAACAUUUGUAAAUCGUUCACCAACAUAUGCAAAACGUUUGUCAAAGAAGCUAUCGAAGCUACAGGAAGCUAUCGAAGUUUGGUAUCGGAUGACACAUUUUGUGACAUUGCCCAAUUGUUACAUUCUGCUUAGGAGAUAGUUCUUCGUGGGAGUGCUUUUUUUCAAUCUACACACCACCACUUGAUAUUUACAUAUAUUAACAAUAAGGAAUUCACAUACUGCUCAAUGUAUGAUAUAGUAUUUUAUCCAGUGGUUUUACACUUUGCUUCUCUUCCACAAUAAUAACAGACUAGGUAUUGUUUCACAAUGCAAAAUUGUGUGUGUGUGUGUGUGUGUGUGUGUGUGUGCGGGCACGCACGGUGUAAAAUACAAUAAGAGUCACUUAACAUUAAACUCUUUAUGAUACCACUUAUGAUGGCUCAAAGCAUUCUGGGAUGUUUAGUUCACUUUCAAUGAGUCCUGGAAAUGAAAAAUGUAGUUAUACAUGUGGUAUUCUUGCUACUCUGCACUGUAGGUCAUUGUAGAGCUGUUAGAAACAAUAACGACAAUAUUGAAACUGAUAUUACAAACCUGUCAUCUCUUACCUCCCAUCCUCAAUUGUUGUGCCCUUUUGUCUGUUGUCACAACUAUUGAUACUACUCAGGUGUAGUAUUCUGAUACUGUAGCUGACACUGUCUAAUAGUUUAUCUAAAAAACAUACAAUGGCUUAACAGUCGAGAUGUAAUCUGUGUGAAUAAACUGUGUUCAGUUCAAAGGGGUAAUUAGCCUACAUCUUAAUAGGUUCAGCCUUAAAAAAUGCUCUCAUUUUUUUUUUCUUCAUGCGUCUGUUUUGAAUAAUUUAGAUCAGAAAGCACUUGACUCAAUUCAUUACUUUCAAGUACAUAGUUUCAGGCAGCCAUUUUGUAUUUGUCCUUAAGUUUUUUGUUGUCCUCGUCCAUGUUGAUACCCUGAUGCCAAGUGGAAGAAGUGCCCAUAUUCUGUAUGUUUAGCUCUCAGUAAUGCCGCAAGUGUGAUAUGCAAUUUGAACAUUUUU